UACGAAGGGUGCAAGCGUUACUCGGAAUUACUGGGCGUAAAGGCGCGUAGGCGGCCGAUCAAGUCGGGGUGAAAGCCUGUGGCUCAACCACAGAAUUGCCUUCGAUACUGGUUGGCUUGAGACCGGAAGAGGUAAGUGGAACUGCGAGUGUAGAGGUGAAAUUCGUAGAUAUUCGCAAGAACACCAGUGGCGAAGGCGGCUUACUGGUCCGGUACUGACGCUGAGGUGCGAAAGCGUGGGAGCAAACAGG
rnacentral:rRNA from 1 species